GUGCCAGCAGCCGCGGUAAUACCGGCAGUUCGAGUGAUAGCCGAUUUUAUUGGGCCUAAAGCGUCCGUAGCCUGCUGUGUAAGUCCAUUGGGAAAUCGACGCGCUCAACGCGUCGGCGUCCGGUGGAAACUACACGGCUUGGGGCCGAGAGACUUGACGGGUACGUCCGGGGUAGGAGUGAAAUCCUGUAAUCCUGGACGGACCACCGAUGGGGAAACCACGUCAAGAGACCGGACCCGACGGUGAGGGACGAAAGCCAGGGUCUCGAACCGGAUUAGAAACCCCGGUAGUCC
rnacentral:rRNA from 1 species